GACAGAGGCCUCAAGCGUUAGGCGGAAUCACUGGGCUUAAAGCGUGUGUAGGCGGAUCGUUAAGUGCCUUGUGAAAUCCCACGGCUUAACUGUGGAACGGCUGGGCAUACUGGCGGUCUUGAGCCAUCUAGGGGCGACUGGAACAAACGGUGGAGCGGUGAAAUGCGUAGAUAUCGUUUGGAACGCCAAUGGUGAAAACAGGUCGCUGGGGAUGAGCUGACGCUGAGGCACGAAAGCCAGGGGAGCAAACGGG
rnacentral:rRNA from 1 species